GGAGCGCGCAGGCAGGCGGGAGCUCUGCGAGCCUUCCACAGCUCCUCACCAGCUGACACGGAAACACAGGAGGCACCCUCUCCCCAGCUAAUAUUUUUUUUAAUCUUAGUCCGCUCCCUGUUUCGCAGAUGUCUUAGGGACCUUACUAAGUCUUGCAUUCAGGCUCUUGGCCCUGAUGAAGCAGAAGCUGCCUGCAGGCAGCUUUUGGACAGCUGGAUGAAGAUAUCACUCAUCAACCAUCAGCCCUCUCCAGGUGGCAUGGAUCUUCAUUUGGAUUUCAGGAGACAUGAACAACAGCAGCCUGUGAAGACAACGCUUCUGUGAAGGACAAACCCUUCACCCUAUUUCAGUGCUUCCUUGAGGCACAUCUAUGUUCCUGGCUGUGGAAGGAGCCAGUGGGGACAGGACCGUGGACAUAAACAAGAUUUCAAGCAGCCUGAACCAUCUGAGGUCCCUCCCUGAUUGUUUUUAGGACAAACCCCUACUGCAGGCACUGGGAGGAAUUUCAAAUAAGUGGCCAAACAUCUCAGGAACUUGGUUCUGGUGCCCUGGAUCAACCAGCAGUGAUGGGUAAGAUGUCAUUGCUUCUCCUCAGUGUCCCCAUGGGCACCUGCCCUACCUCUGGCAGAAAUUAUUGGCCAAAACCAGUUCAGAGAAUCAGAGAAUAUCCCCAGUUGGAAGGGACCCACAAGCUGCUGGUGUGAAUAGAUGGAUCAAGGCUGCAGCAAAGCAAAUUUAUCAUCAAGCAGUGCUUUGAGCUAACAGAGUCACACUUCUGUGACUCCAAGGCAGUUAUUUUGGGGGGAAUAUAUAUGAACUAGGGCUUAAAUACUUGGCUUGAGCUGAGGGCAGAGAAGACGCCUCACUUAGCCUGAGGAAUGCUUUUGACAGAGACACGUUGUCGCCACAUCUCUUGGCUGGGAAUAAGUUGUACCUUUCCUGCAAAUGGAAAUAUUUCUCUGAAGUUCAACAGCUGCAGGAACAGCAGCUUGUCUCUUGAUCACGUUUUCAGUUUUAAAACCCAUUUCUAGUCCAGCACCGAGGAGAAAACCCAAGGCUCAUUCAAAUGAGCUUUUUAAUGGAAAAAGUCACAUUAAAUCUAAACCAAUUUCAUGAUCUUGUCUGAAUCAUAACUUUUUAAAGACUCAGGGCUGAGGCUGCAGUUAACAUUGCCUUAGCAAUGCUUAGUACUUAUCUGUGAGUAGGAAGGUAAUGGUGGGGAAGGGCUUGUGGUGUUAUUUUUCUCAGGGCCUGAUCAUUUAGCUAUCUAAUUUGGGAAGCAGGACUAUCUCUGGCUGACUCUUAUCACCCCUUUCAGCGAGGCAGA
rnacentral:lncRNA from 1 species